AAAGGUUGGGAGAUGACGAUCUCGGCGUCGACGAGCUCCCGCUCGAAGACGCUGUCGGGACCGUCCUUGUCCGA
rnacentral:sRNA from 1 species